rnacentral:rRNA from 1 species
UGUGUAGGCGGUCCGCUAAGUCGGGUGUGAAAGCCCUGGGCUCAACCCAGGAAGUGCACUCGAAACUGGCGGGCUAGAGUAUCGGAGAGGUUGGUGGAAUUCUCGGUGUAGAGGUGAAAUUCGUAGAUAUCGAGAGGAACACCGGUGGCGAAGGCGGCCAACUGGACGAAUACUGACGCUGAGACACGAAAGCGUGGGGAGCAAACAGGAUUAGAUACCCUGGUAGUCCACGCCGUAAACGAUGGGUGCUAGGUGUCGCGGGCUUUGACUCCUGCGGUGCCGUAGCUAACGCAUUAAGCACCCCGCCUGGGAAGUACGGCCGCAAGGCUAAA